rnacentral:rRNA from 1 species
GACGAACGCUGGCGGCGUGCUUAACACAUGCAAGUCGAGCGGUAAGGCCCUUUCGGGGGUACACGAGCGGCGAACGGGUGAGUAACACGUGGGUGACCUGCCCUCAGCUCUGGGAUAAGCCUGGGAAACUGGGUCUAAUACUGGAUAUGACUCCACGGUGCAUGUCGUGGGGUGGAAAGCCUUGUGCGGCUGAGGAUGGGCCCGCGGCCUAUCAGCUUGUUGGUGGGGUGAUGGCCUACCAAGGCGACGACGGGUAGCCGGCCUGAGAGGGCGACCGGCCACACUGGGACUGAGACACGGCCCAGACUCCUACGGGAGGCAGCAGUGGGGAAUCUUGCGCAAUGGGCGUAAGCCUGACGCAGCGACGCCGCGUGGGGAUGAAGGCC